UGCUCCCUCUUUUACCCUGCCUUUAGGCUCGGCUACGUCCGGUUUGGUUGUGCAGCUGCAGCACAAGCAUGUGUAGCUGCAAGCCUGCAGCCAUGCACGAUCUUUCUGUGAUCAGAAGACCGAGCAGGCCGAUCUGGCGGGCCAUCUCCAAAGCCUAAUUACUUUGGGAGUUUGGGUUAAUGAUAGCUCAGCUGCUGUGCAGUUAUUCUCCUUUGCAUUCUGAAGUGAUUGCUCGCUCCCUCCUGCAGUCCUGCUUGGUCUUCUCCCAAUCUCCCAUUCAUCGUCUUGGCCCAGAGGUGAGUAUUUGAGGCUUGGCCCAGCUAUUAUUAGUCUUCACUGUUCUUGGCCCAGCAAGAUCCGCUAACUGAAAGGUUUCCUUUGGGCUUUGGAUAGGACAAUCCUGGAAAAAAAAAUCGUUUUUUUGACUUCAUCACACCAAGAAGAAGAAAUCAGUCCACCCUUACUACUGGUAGCCAAACACCAUGCAAUCCUAGAACAAUGUUUGUUGAAAGAAAAACCAAUUCAAAAACUUCUCAUUCUGAAGUUAUUUAUGCAGAUAGAUCUCCAGAGUUAUUUACCUGAAAAUAGCUCGG
rnacentral:lncRNA from 1 species